GAAGUCGGGGCCGGGGUCAGCGCUGGGUUGGGGUCGGGGUUGGGUUCUGAGUUGGGGAUGGGAUCGGAGUUGGGAUUGGGGUUGGGUUCUCAGUUGGGGUUGGGAUUGGAGCUGGGGUUGGGCUCAGAGUUCAGAUCAGGGCUGGGGUUGGGGUUCAGGUUGGGUUCUGAGUUGGUGUUAGGGUUGGGGUCGGAGUUGAGAUUGGGGUUGGGCUCAGGGUUGGGGUUCGGGUUGGGUUCUGAGUAGGGGUUGGGGUUGGGUUUGUGUUGGGGUUGGGGUUGGAGUUGGUCUGGGGUUGGGAUUGGGAUCAGGACUGGGAUUAGGACGGGGGUUAGGAUUGGGAUUGGGCUGGAGUCAAGGUCAGGAUCAGGAUUAAGGUUGGGUUAGGGGUCAGGGUUGGGGUUGGAGUUGAGGUUGGGGUCAGGGCUGGGGUUGGGAUUGGGGUUGGGGUUGCGUUUGUGUUGGAGUUGGGCUGGGAUUGGCAUUGGGAUUGGGUUGCAGUCAAGGUCGGGCUCAGGGUUGGGUUGGGGUCAGGGUUGGGGUUGGGUUAAGGGUUGGGGUUGGGGUUGGGAUGGGGUUGCAGUGGCACUGAGGUUGGAGUUAAGGUGAGGGUAGGGGUUGGGGUUGAGUUGGGUUUGAGGUCAGGAUUGGGGUCGGGGUUAAGGUUGAGGUUGGGUUGGUGUUGGAGUGAAGGUUGGGGGUCAGCAUUGGGUUCGGGUUUGGGGUUGGGUUUGGAGUUGGGGUUGGGGUCGGGGUUAAGGUUGGGGUUGGGUUGAGGUUGGAGUUAAGGUUGGGGUCAGGGUUAAGGUUGGGGUUGGGAUUGGGUUGGAUUUAGGGUUGGGAUUGGGGUUGGGGUUGGAGUUGUUGGGAUUGGGUUUAGGGCUGUGUUUACGGAUGGGGUUAAGGGUGGAGUUGGGGUUGGGUUGGUGUUAGGAUUGUGUUGGAUAUAGGAUUGGGGUGUGUGUAUGGGGGGGGGUCUGCAGGUGCUUGCAGGGAUGCUUUGAGCAGUGGGGGCUCCGGGGGUCGAUGGGGUCUAUGGGGGCUUUGGGACCACCCCUGCGGGGAGGGCUCUGCGGGGGCAGCGGGGGGGGCCGCAGUGACGGGAAGCCGCGCCCGGCCCCGGCCCCGCGGGUUUCCU
ensembl:lncRNA